GAUGAACGCUGGCGGCGUGCUUAACACAUGCAAGUCGAACGGUGAAGGCGGAGCUUGCUCUGCUGGAUCAGUGGCGAACGGGUGAGUAACACGUGAGCAAUCUGCCCCUGACUCUGGGAUAAGCGCUGGAAACGGCGGCUAAUACUGGAUACGAGCUGCGAAGGCAUCUUCAGCAGCUGGAAAGAACUUCGGUCAGGGAUGAGCUCGCGGCCUAUCAGCUUGUUGGUGAGGUAACGGCUCACCAAGGCGUCGACGGGUAGCCGGCCUGAGAGGGUGACCGGCCACACUGGGACUGAGACACGGCCCAGACUCCUACGGGAGGCAGCAGUGGGGAAUAUUGCACAAUGGGCGAAAGCCUGAUGCAGCAACGCCGCGUGAGGGACGACGGCCUUCGGGUUGUAAACCUCUUUUAGCAGGGAAGAAGCGAAAGUGACGGUACCUGCAGAAAAAGCGCCGGCUAACUACGUG
rnacentral:rRNA from 1 species